rnacentral:rRNA from 1 species
GAUGAACGCUGGCGGCAUGCCUAAGACAUGCAAGUCGAACGAGAAGACCUUUGGAAGACUGAGUGCUUGCACAAAGUUAGAAGAAGAUCAUCUUCUAGUGGCAGACGGGUGAGUAACACGUGGGUAACCUACCUUCAAGCUGGGGAUAACAGUUGGAAACGACUGCUAAUACCGAAUAAGAUAUAUAGCAAUAUAUAUUGAAAGAAGCCUUUAAAGCUUCACUUAAAGAUGGGCUUGCGUUGUAUUAGCUAGUUGGUGGGGUAAUGGCCUACCAAGGCAACGAUGCAUAUCCGAACUGAGAGGUUGAUCGGACACAUUGGGACUGAGACACGGCCCAAACUCCUACGGGAGACAGCCAGUUAGGAAUAUUCGUCAAUGGGGGAAACCCUGACGAGCAAUGCCGCGUGAACGAUGAAGGCCCUCUGGGUUGUAAAGUUCUGUUACUUGGGAAGAAGUAUCUAAGAUAAGAAAU